AGUGAACGCUGGCGGUAGGCCUAACACAUGCAAGUCGAACGGCAGCACAGUAAGAGCUUGCUCUUACGGGUGGCGAGUGGCGGACGGGUGAGGAAUACAUCGGAAUCUACUUUUUCGUGGGGGAUAACGUAGGGAAACUUACGCUAAUACCGCAUACGACCUACGGGUGAAAGCAGGGGAUCUUCGGACCUUGCGCGAUUGAAUGAGCCGAUGUCGGAUUAGCUAGUUGGCGGGGUAAAGGCCCACCAAGGCGACGAUCCGUAGCUGGUCUGAGAGGAUGGUCAGCAACACUGGAACUGAGACACGGUCCAGAGUCCUACGGGAGGCAGCAGUGGGGAAUAUUGGACAAUGGGCGCAAGCCUGAUCCAGCCAUACCGCGUGGGUGAAGAAGGCCUUCGGGUUGUAAAGCCUUUUUGUUGGGAAAGAAAAGCAGCAGGUUAAUACCCCGCUGUUCUGACGGUACCCAAAGAAUAAGCACCGGCUAACUUCGUG
rnacentral:rRNA from 1 species